CCUACGGGUGGCAGCAGUGAGGAAUAUUGGUCAAUGGGCGCGAGCCUGAACCAGCCAAGUCGCGUGAGGGAGGACGGCCCUACGGGUUGUAAACCUCUUUUGCCGGGGAGCAACGGGCGUCACGUUUGGCGCCACUGAGAGUACCCGGAGAAAAAGCAUCGGCUAACUCCGUGCCAGCAGCCGCGGUAAUACGGAGGAUGCGAGCGUUAUCCGGAUUUAUUGGGUUUAAAGGGUGCGUAGGCGGGACCUUAAGUCAGCGGUAAAAUUGCGGUGCUCAACGCCGUAGAGCCGUUGAAACUGGGGUUCUAGAGUGAGCGAGAAGUAUGCGGAAUGCGUGGUGUAGCGGUGAAAUGCAUAGAUAUCACGCAGAACCCCGAUUGCGAAGGCAGCAUACCGGCGCUCAACUGACGCUGAGGCACGAAAGUGCGGGUAUCGAACAGGAUUAGAUACCCUAGUAGUC
rnacentral:rRNA from 1 species